UGGGGAUGCCUCCACUUUGCAAAAUGCCCCACUGAGAGAAGAGAAGAAUCAUAUACAGGGAUGAGUUGACAGCUCUUCAGGGUAGAGGCUGGAUUCCUUUGUACAGCUGCAUCCCCGCUAAUGAUAAAUGAGUAAUGUUUGAUAGCUGACUCCUUUGCCUGACAGCUACAGUUGUGGCCAGAGGGCCAGGACAGCCUUUAGACUUCUGUUCAAAAUGAGUUAAACAUAUUAGGUAUUAUGAAGGCACAGAAGCCCUCCGAGAAGGAGUGCGGAAAUGAGUUAUCAAGGUGCUGGUGAGGAAUAAAAGCAACCAAUCAACCAAGAGAAAUCUUCCUUUGAAAGAGACAUAAACAAGAAGUAAAGGAAGAGAAAGAGAUAACAAGCAAGUAUCUGAGAAAAGAAAGAACAUGAAACAUCCAUUGGUUUUGCAUUAUGAAAACAUCAGCUGACUUCAGACAAACAUCCCCUCCUAUCAGUUUCUGUUACUUUCUAUUGGAGAACUGAUGAGAGUCCUGACCAACUUCCAGAUUUUUUUUAAUACACCUGGUUUUAAGGAACAACAACAACAAAAAGUAAAGCUAUCUGAAAUAUCUCUAAGACUUGGUAUAUUUUGUCGUCACUACCCCGCUGAGUUUGAUAGGUGAAUAAACCUAAGCAUGUAUAUAAGUAUGAGAACUUCCAUGAACUUCUGCCAAAAGUUAAUGUAAAUGUUUCUGAAAAUGAGAAACAUCUUAAUAAGCACCAGAGGAAGUCCCCCACUUCUCUCAACAUUUCAGUAAUGUCAAGAAAGGAUAUAAGUAUGAU